rnacentral:ncRNA from 1 species
GAUGAUAGAGGUGCAGAACUCAUGAGUAUUCCUGCGGAGGCGCUCAACCGUCCGCGAAACAGGGAGAAAGGGAGUUUUGCCGAAAUGGAACACUGGAUUGAGAAGCGUUCUGUUGGUCGGCAGGAGAAGAUGUUGCCGACUGUCACGGUAUGUGGAGCGCUAUCG